AUGGACGAGGGCGGCGCCGGCGACGAGGGCGAGAAGAAGAGCAUGAUCGCCGUGCUCCUCACUCUGCAGAAGACGGAGCCGGAGCUGUACACUGAUCAGAUGAUCAUCGCUCUGUGUGCGGCGAGUAACACGGCCAUGUCACUUAGCUGGAUGAAUCCCACUUCCAACGUGUUUAUUUCUAGUAAUUUAAUUUUGGCCUUUCCCACUCUCAGCGCCGACGACGUGCCCCGCCUCAGCUACCUCCAGUGCAUCAUCAACGAGACGCUACGCCUGUACCCGGCGGCGCCGCCGCUGCUGCCGCACGAGUCCUCCGCCGACUGCAAGGUCGGCGGCUACGACGUGCGGAGCGGCACCAUGCUGAUCGUGAACGCGUACGCCCUCCACAUGGACCCGGCUGUGUGGGAGGACCCGACGGCGUUCCGCCCGGAGCGGUUCGAGGACGGCAAGGGCGACGGGCUGCUGCUGAUGCCGUUCGGGAUGGGGCGGCGGAGGUGCCCCGGCGAGGCGCUGGCGCUGCAGACGGUCGGGGUGGUUCUCGGGACGUUGGUGCAGUGUUUCGACUGGGACCGGGUAGACGGCGUGGAGGUGGACAUGACGGAGGGGGUGGGGAUCACCAUGCCCAAGGCCGUGGCUUUGGAGGCCGUGUGUAGGCCGCGCGCGGCCAUGCGCGAUGUUCUUCAGAAGCUCUGA
rnacentral:rRNA from 1 species